ACAGAGACACGUCAUCAGAGUGCGCAACAGGACUCUGUACUGUCGGGUUGCUGUUAACAUCAAAACAUUUUCAUUAAAUCGAUUUUAAUCCAAACUAAAGUUUUGUUUCUAAGGAUUCCACGACGCGGUUAGCCUUUACGGCUGGGAUUGCAAGUUUGCGUUCCUUUUUUUUGCGUGUAUUCCGCGAGUGCUAACUGGCUGUACUACAGCCACCUGGUCGUCGUGGGAAAGACUCAUUGUUAUCUUUUCAUAAAAAAAACUGGCUGGAGUAAAGAGCCAAUCUGGACACUAAGGAGAUCCUGAGGGAAAUCGACGAGUACCAACAGCUUUACGCUAUGAAGGAACAACAUACUCCUUCAUGGAAAGAUCCGAACACCUCACAAAAUAACUUUAACCCAACAAGAAAAGAAAAACAGGGUGCCAAUAGUUAUGGAACCCACUGUAUGUGCAUCAGAUGCAGUAGUAUGCUGGCUUUGUCCACAUUUGGGGUCAACUUGGUUCCUCCCAGAAGUAUGAGAAGAUUUUUCAAUGUCUCGUGCCAAAAGGAAUUGACAGGCAGAGACGGAAUGAAUGACAUUGCCUUUCUAAACAAAGACGGGGACAGUUUUCCUACUGAGUCCAGAAAGCAGAGCCCAGUGGUAUCUGCUGCCGCCACGUUAUGCGGGUAUCUGGACAAGCUGAGCGGGCCACUGAAGGUCUGGAGGUCCCUCUGGUUCAUAUACGAAGAGAAGGAGUGUCAGCUGGUCUACUACAAGUGUGCCCAGGAUGUGAAUCCACUGGGAUGGAUUGACCUGUCCAAUGCCAUACUGGGAGACAUACCACAGGCAGACCAGGGGACCUUCUACAUUCAAACACCCGAGCGCACCUUCACCCUCAAGGCUGUGAAUUGCGAGUCUAUGAUAUACUGGCUGAAGCAGCUCCAGUUGAAGAGGUGGCAUCAUGGGAACAUUUCUGGAAAGCUGGGAAUGGUCACCAGUCACCAUGCACUACGACGAUACGCCACGCUGAGUGACGUCCUCCUCAGACACACUCCGACAGGAAUUCAUAAGGAAUACUUACUCCGGAGCCGCUCCUCCCAGGAGCUCAGCCACAGCCUCAGCUGGGAGGAACUCUGGGAUCCAUUCCUGCCACUCAAAGACAUCCAGGCCCCUCCAUAUUUUGACCAGGACAAAUCACCUCCAAAAACAAAUAUUGAGCCCUCUGGGCCAAAAACACAGUGGGUCCAGGAGAUAGAGGCACCAAAGGGACACCAGAGCUCCCUAAGCAGUGAGGGCUCCUCUUCUAACCCCGCAGACAAGACUGCUAGUCCACAGCAGGAAGAGCCUCCAGACACCGCCAGUCUUCAACAGGAAGUGCUCAGUCUGGCAGGCCAGGUCAAGGCCCAGAAGGAUCUAGUAUCCCUGUUGCAGAAGGCCCUGGAGUUGGCCCAGCAGGAGAAAUUGACUCCUGCAGUAGAGUCCCCGAGGUCGGAGUGUGAAUGGAAGAGUUCCAACUCACAACCAUGGAAUCAAGGCGAGUGCAACACAGAUCAUUCGUAUGGCCUGCAGGUUGCGCCACUGCUGAGGCACGACUGUGUGGCCGAAUCUCAGGAUCACCUCCGGCUACUGGCUGAGAGGAACCAGGCUGAGAGAGAGUUGGUCCUCCGUCUGUCCCAACAAGUGGCUGAGAGUUUGGCCGACCCCCAGCGAAGCCUCGUCCGCGGUUGGACUGUCCUUGAAACGCAGGAGCAGCUGAGACAGGAGAUUAGGAAUCUUAAGGACAACAUUGAGGCCUACAAGACUCAGAAUACUUACUUGAACGCAGAGAUCUACAAGUUAACCAAAGAAUGGAGGAAGAGUACAGAACAAGAGAAGUGCUUGAUGAUAAAGUGUGCCCAUCUGGAGGCCAAGGUGUUCCGGAUGGAGAGCAGGUCUCUGACAGUACUCUUCAAGCUACAGGAGAGCAGAGGUUUGGAGAGACACAGGGAAGCCAUAAAGACCCUGAUCACCGACACUCUUCGGGAGGGCGGGAGGGACAUUCUGGAACUGAACCCUGCCAGGGAAUAUGAUGAGUAUGGGUUUAGAAUCUCCACUGACAUCCAAAUGGAUGAUAUGAAGCUGCUGGCCAAACUGCAAGCAUUAGGGAUUCAUUCCCACGAUCCCCCACAACAACAGAAUGAUGGGGAAGAGGAGAGGGACAGCGAGCGUCUUUGGGGCCGCUGGGCACAGCACUUUGAUGGCAGACGAUCAGACAAGGCGGUGGCCUCUCCGAAGCUGAAGGGGCUUCUGAGAAAGGGCGUGCCGUACCACUACAGGCGUCGUGUGUGGCGCUGGAUAGUGUGGAGCCGCACCCGCUCCCUGAGAGAGCGCCAGCCCCACUGGUACCAACAGAUAUGCUUUAGGAGCCAGGCUGCUUCGGCCCACCGGGUCUCGCAGCAGAUCUGGUUGGACCUGGAGACCACUCUGACAGGGAACCGCCACUUCUCCUUCCCCGCCAAGCGUGCCGUCCGGCAGCUACAUCGUAUCCUCCUAGCCUUUUCUUGUCAUAACCGGUCUGUCGGCUACUGCCAGGGCCUCAACAGAUUGGCUGCAAUGGCCUUGCUAGUGUUGCAGAGCGAGGAAGAUGCUUUCUGGUGUCUGGUGGCCAUUGUCGAGACCAUCAUGCCUCAGGACUUCUAUGGCAAGACUCUAACAGCAUCUCAGGUGGAGCAGCGCGUGCUCAAGGACUUCAUAGCAGAGAAGAUGCCGAGACUAACAGCCCAUUUCCACUGUCACGGAGUGGACGUGUCCCUGGUCACCUCCGACUGGUUCCUAGCUGCGUUUGUGGAGAGGCUGACCAGUGACGUCCUGCUCAGAAUUUGGGACGCCUUCCUGUACGAGGGCACCAAGGUGAUAUUUCGCUAUGCAUUGGCGCUCUUCAAAUACACAGAAGAGGACGUUCUGAAGAUUCAUCAUAGUGUGGAUAUCUACCAGUACCUCCGUUUCAUCACCAGAACCAUCACAGACAGCAGAUCCUUACAAGACCUGGACCUUACCUGGAACUUCGUCCUCGAUACCGCCGUCUCUUUUUCCUGCGAAUGACGGGGAUGAGGGCCUUGUCGGGCAUCUGAAGUAAAUCCUUCCCAUUCGACUCGUUCCUCCGGUAUGGGAGACUGACAACCAUUGCAUUCUGCGACAUGAACCCGUUUCCUUUCAGGCUGCUCCGUCAGAGACGGGCCCUGCACCUUCAGUGUGUGCAUGUACAGUUGAGUGAGUUAGAGCGUAUCCAGAGGGAGCUGGGUAGAGAGCGACGCCAGCACAAGGACAGGGAGCUUGGGCUCGUUUCCAGCGAGGAUGAGGGGGACACAUGAGCUCUGGAUAAAAUGCUCUGGCCAGAUUCCAAUCGGAACUUUUACCCCCUGCGUCCUGUUACUCACUUAUCUCAGUAGAUAUUGUCGGUUUGUCAUUUCUUGUUUGAUGUUUUCAAUGUUCAUGUUUUAUUGUCACGUGCAUAAAUACAGUGAAAUGCCUUUCUUGCAAGCUCUUUCCCAACAAUGCAGUAAUCAAUAUCAAUAGUACUAUAAAAUGUAUAAAGUAGAAUAAAAAAUGACGAGAAAUAGAAAUUAGAACACGAGGAAGCAAGUAAGCUAUAUACAGGGUCAGUACCAGUACGAUAUCUACAAUGCCAUAUUUACAAUGUGUUGGGAGUGGUAGGAGUAGAUACAUCGAGCUCCAAAAGUAUUGGGACAGUGACACAUUUGAUGUUGUUUUGGUUCUGUACUCCAGCACUUUGGAUUUGAAAUGAUACAAUGACUGACUGUGAGGUUAAAGUGCAGACUGUCAGUUUAAAUCUGAGGGUAUUGUCACCCAUAUCAGGUGAACUGUUUAGAAAUUACAGCCCUUUUUGUACAUAGUCCCCCCCCAUUUUAGAAGACCAAAAGUAUUGGGACAAAUUCACUUGCGUGUAUUACAGUAGUAAAACGUUAAGCAUUUGGUCCCAUUUUUAUAGCACGCAAUGACUACAUCAAGCUUGCGACUCUGUUGGAUGCAUUUGCUGUUUGUUUUGGUUGUGUUUCAGAUUAUUUGUGUCCCCCAAAAAAUGCAUGGUCACUUUUACUGUAAAUAACAAUAGAAUGUUUCAAAACACUUCUACAUUACUGUGGGUGCUACUCUAUUUAUGGAUAAUCCUGAAUGAAUUGUGAAUAAUGAGUGAGAAAGUUAGAGGCAUAAAUAUUUUUCUCACUCAUCAUUAUUCAUGAUUCAUUCAGGACUUUGUAACUGUCCCAAUACUUUUGAAACUCACUCUUUGUAUAGGGCUAAAUUGACUAGGCAUCAGGAUAUAUGAUAUGUGGCAGACCAGGGGGUUUGGUCAAGAUGUUUACACAGAUCAGACACGGACAGAGUAGGAUUAGCUCAGUUUCAAUGGUGUUUAUUUAAAUAAUAAAUCAAAAAGAAAAGGAUAGGUCUCCCCCAUGAGACCCUCUACAGGAUACCGUCUUCUGGGCUCCAGGUCUUGCUGUAUCCUGCCAGGAUCAAAACUGCACUCACUCCUGUUACCUCUGUAACCAUCCCCAACUAUACAGGAGUCCUUUCUUCCCCCCCACUCUCUUCCUGUGUGAUGCUUUAUGGGCCCUUGAUUACACACCAACUCCCAAUCAGCUCCCUGGCUGGAAAAGCUGUCGAGACCUGGCAUGUCCAGAAGAUGGAGCCAUCGCCUCGUGAUGUACACACCGUCUGUCACCAGGCCUCGACGAGUCUCCCCCUGGUGGCUGACUUGCUGUAUGUCACAAAUGAUUGUAUGUGAGUGUGUGUGUGUGUGUGUGUGUGUGUGUGAGCAAAUGAAGCGUGAGUGUGCAUAAUCAGUUAAUAAAUAAUGCAAAAAUACUG